rnacentral:rRNA from 1 species
UACGAAGGGGGCUAGCGUUGUUCGGAUUUACUGAGCGUAAAGCGCACGUAGGCGGAUCGUUAAGUCGGGGGUGAAAUCCUGGAGCUCAACUCCAGAACCGCCUUCGAUACUGGCGAUCUCGAGUCCGGAAGAGGUGAGUGGAACUCCUAGUGUAGAGGUGGAAUUCGUAGAUAUUAGGAAGAACACCAGUGGCGAAGGCGGCUCACUGGUCCGGUACUGACGCUGAGGUGCGAAAGCGUGGGGAGCAAACAGG